rnacentral:pre_miRNA from 1 species
AGGGGGAGGUCGGACCUUGGGCUGUGUCCCGGCACCCUGUGCUCAGUGGCCUGCGCUGUUGGAUUUGCGCUCCCGGCCGGGCAGCCCCCU